CAGACCCCGGGCGGGCUCCCGCGCUCGCCCCGCCCCUGGCUCGACGCCUCGGACUCGCGCAGCCAAUCAGCGAGGCCAGCUCUGCCCCUUCUCCCGAGGCGGCCAAUGCGGAGAGACUUAGGAUCCACCUCCUCCCCAGCUGAGCGCACACAACACAGCAUCCACGUGAGUCAGCGCCUUAAAGGAGCAGGCUCAGCCUUUCUAAUUGCGGCCGCUGUGAGACCUCGCGCGUCCUCCGCGUCACCAGGUGGUGGCUAAGGCCUAGCUUUUUGAGGCCCCGGGGAUGACAAAUGAAAACAGACUGUUUUUCUAGGCAAAGCAGGUGCCUGAGUCGUUAAAACCCUACCGCGUCAUUAGUUUCUUUGAGAUUGCUUACUUGCUGUCACGCCUUACACAGGGCCACCUUUUAUUUACGAACCCCAAACUCUUUGGAGUCUCGGCAUAUAGGAAAUCCCGAAGAACAUCUAUGGAAAAGGGCGUUUUUCAGGUGUGCCCGACUUAAUUUACAACUCUGAAUCUUCUCUUGGUGCUGGAAGUGAUUAUCAAGAAGAUGAGAAAAUUCUACAUGAGGAUUUUCUACCUCUGAAAGUCUUGAGAUUGUUGUUGUUGUUGUUGUUUGUUGUUGUUGUUGAAGAGGGUAGCUGGUCCCCCAACCCUCACCAGUGCUUCACUUAGAAGGUUUUGCGUCUCCUCUUCUUUGAAUUUCCCAGGACUCUUCCACUGGAGCUGUGCCCUUAGAGGUAAGCUACCUUUCAAGUGAGUGCUUCAUGCACAGCUGUAAGUCUCCAUUGCCUCUUCACACCUCCCAUGGCCUUGUGAAUCUCUUUGCUCAAUACGCCCUGAAACACUUGGGCCUCUACCCACCUGUGUUACUCUCUGCAGAUAGUCAUGCCUCAUAAUUUAGAGUCAGAUUAAGACUGCCAGAGGUGACCUACCUCAAAGUUUCUCAGUCCCAUAUUUCUUUCUCUAUCACCUAUUUUCUUGGCACUUUCUCCAGUGUUAGAAGGAAAACCAUCUCUUUUCCUUCCCAAAGCCCGAUGGGCACCUAUACCCGGAGAACAUGUUGGAUCUUGAGACUCAGUCAGUCUUUAACAGAAUCCACAUCUUGUCUUAACAGCACAAACAACACAUAUUUCCUUAGGCCCAGGGUUGUCACUCCUCCUCUUGUGUCUGUCUGCCAGUAAACCAUGAUCUCCAUGGCUCCUUCAAUCACUGUAAGUACUUACCAUCUCUCUCUUGUUUGGACUCUCCAUACAAGUAAUCUGCCCUCACAUCAAACACCUUAGUUUUAAACCCAAGUGAAAAGAAAAAAAAAAAAAAAAAAAAAAACCCAAGUGACCUCUUAA